rnacentral:rRNA from 1 species
CAACAGCUCAAAUUUGAAAUCUGGCCUCGUCGGGGUCCGAGUUGUAAUUUGCAGAGGGUGCUUCGGGCGCGAUGCCGGUCUAAGUUCCUUGGAACAGGACGUCGUAGAGGGUGAGAAUCCCGUAUGCGACCGGCGAUCAAGCCUGUGUGAAGCCCCUUCGACGAGUCGAGUUGUUUGGGAAUGCAGCUCCAAAUGGGUGGUAAAUUUCAUCUAAAGCUAAAUAUUGGCCAGAGACCGAUAGCGGACAAGUAGAGUGAUCGAAAGAUGAAAAGCACUUUGGAAAGAGAGUCAAACAGUACGUGAAAUUGUUGAAAGGGAAGCGCUUGCAAUCAGACCGGUCCGGAGGCGAUCAGCCGCUGCUUCGUCGCAGCGGUGCACUCGCCUGCGAUCCGGCCAGCAUCGGUUCGGGCGGCGGGAGAAAAGGGCCGGGAAUGUAGCUUCCUCCGGGGAGUCUUAUAGCCCGGGUCGCAAUGCCGCCCGCCUGGACCGAGGACCGCGCUUCGGCUAGGAUGCUGGCGUAAUGGUUGCAAGCG